UGCGGAUUGGUGCGGCGUGUUCGUUGGGAAAGGCGGAGCCGGCAGCUCAGCGCCGGAGCCACGACACCGACGCAGGGAUGGGAACGAAGAGCUGGUGCCAGGAAGCCUGUUGAAACUGCGUCAGCGGUGAUCAGCUGCACAGUGAAAGCUCCGCUAACACGGGCCAGUGGCGCAAUGGAUAACGCGUCUGACUACGGAUCAGAAGAUUCUAGGUUCGACUCCUGGCUGGCUCGGCGUGUGCUCUUUUGCGACGUUUGUGUUUGAUAGGGAAGGGUCCUUAGAAAAGAAUUAUGAGUAAAAACUGUGAAGGUCAAAGUCUUGAAUUGCCCCAUGAAACUCUCUUUUAAGCCGUGUUUGAAACCUAAAGCUGUCUGAAAUGGUUUGCAAAUUGGAGAGCGCCCUCAUCUUAAAUGAUGCACACGAGGAAUCCUGGUUCCCAGAUACGAGACCUGAGAAGGCCCAAAACGUUUGCGGCAGCAGGGAGCCUUGAACCCCCGGAGUGGCUGCCUUGAACACUGUAUGAACCAAUUACUCCACGAUCAAUUAAUUUCUCCCAUCAUAACGUUGUUUCCCCCUGAGGAAAUUAUAGGAAAAAAAAAAGUAAAAUACAGAAAAUUAUUGAGAAUAAAAAUAAGGCGGGGGCUGGGGAUGUAGCUCAGUGGUAUCGUGGCUGCUUAAACAUACAACCAAGGCACCAAAAAUAAAUAAAGCAAAUUCCUACUCUGUGA